rnacentral:lncRNA from 1 species
CCCCACUGUAUAUAUAUAUUUUAUUUCAUUUUAUCUUUUAUUUAUUUUAUAUUAAUGUAUUAUUUAUUAUUUUCUUUUUCAUUCACUUUGAGAUUAUUAUAAGAAGUUAAUAAUGAUCUUCAAGUUCAUUUCAGCUUCAGCACUCAGAGAUGGGUAACCCAAUUGAAAUAGAAAACUAAAAACAUUGGAGACUCAAGUGAGACUAAAUUCAACAGCAAAAUCAGAACAUCAAAGUGAACAUAACAUUAUUUUUAUUCAGUCUAGGGUUCCAUUGUAGACAAUUACAUUGACAUAUUCAGAAAUUAACAAUGUAUCAUUUUUUGUAAUUAAUUCAUUUUCAAAUUGUUACAGCUGUGUCAGUCUUAUUUUCUUCCCUCAGAAAAACAAUGUGGGCAAGAGCUGUAAUACUUUUCUUUGGCAUGGUUUUACUCCACCCUAAGGUAAUUUUUUAAUCAGCCAUUAGGAUUAUUCAGACAGUAGCCAUGGAAGUUUUUAUAAGUAAAUACAAUUACAAAUAUAUGAAGACAAAACCAAUAAGCGAUGUUAUAAAGUAAUGGAGAAUGUUGAUGAAUUCAUAUUUUCUCACAGCUCAUGCAGUAAUGUCCAUUAGAGAACAUACUUUGUUUAUUGUUACUUUGAUCGGGGAUAUCUCUCUCUUUGAUACAGGUCAUUGCAUUUGGUAAGUUAUUUGAUCUUUAUAUUUAAGUCUGAAUACAUCUAUGAAAGAAUUAGAAACUCACACAUGCAGGUCAGUUGCUGAAAAGAUCCUGUGAAGCUUUUGCCUAUAAUUUCACUUAUUAAUGUUGUUAAUUUCACUGAUUGUUUUAGAUAACUACAUGGCUGAAUUCAUUAUAGAGGGCAAUGUUACAUUUGACAUCUCGGAUGCUAUAGCAGCAAUCAUUACCCAAGGGUCUCAAUUUGGGAACACGACGAUUGAACAACUUCAACUAACAGCAGAUUGCGAGAUUGUUGGGGAGUCGUCUACUUGCAACUGUACAUCAGGGUAUACCUGGAGCAACUUUGUGUGUUACCAGUUCCAGUGUUGCAAUGAUUCAUAUUGUAAUGCAAAUCUUUCUAACAUCACAGCAUUCUGCAUUCCCAAAAUGGAAGUUCAUCUUAAUGGAAUUGUUGCAGUGAGCACAAUAUUUAAUGAAACAAAUAUUAUCACAAGACAGGUA